rnacentral:rRNA from 1 species
UACAGAGGGGCGAGCGUUGUUCGGAAUUACUGGGCGUAAAGGGCGCGUAGGCGGCCUUCUAAGUCGAACGUGAAAUCCCCGGGCUCAACCCGGGAACUGCGUCCGAUACUGGGAGGCUUGAAUCCGGAGAGGGAUGUGGAAUUCCAGGUGUAGCGGUGAAAUGCGCAGAUAUCAGGAAGAACACCCGUGGCGAAGGCGGCUUGCUGGGCAGUGGCUGACACUGAGGCGCGACAGCGUGGGGAGCAAACAGG